GCCAGCAUCAUCAACCUGCAGCUUUCACCUGCACAUCCACUGAAGCUCAGCAGGGUUGAGUCUGGUCUGUAUCUGGAUGUGAGACCUUCAGGGAAGACCAGGUUGCUGCUGGAA
rnacentral:rRNA from 1 species